rnacentral:lncRNA from 1 species
AUGAAGCCUGUCCUUGCAGAGCCCCUCUGUUUUGGGGGAACAGGGAGCAUGCACAGGGUCUUGGGAGCAAAGGCCUGGGCCUCCCUGAUGUUUCAAAGGCUCCACAGCUCCACCUGGCUUCACUCCAGCACCAUGUCCCUGGAGCACCUCUGUCCUGUCUGGGCCAACCUGGUCUCCCUGCCCCAUGCCCUCCCCUGGCUCUUACCAACCUGCCCUUUUAUUCAUGCCAUUUGGGGUCACAGAUGGCCUAGCUGGACACAGCUCCCAGAACCGGCUCCACCCUGGGGCCUUACCCCUAGUACCCUCUGGCAGGAGCAACCCACCCCAUGGUCGAGGUUCCCCUACCCCUGGAUCCUGGACUGAAGCCAUUUCCUACAGAGAAGCAUUCCCACCCCCUCUCAGGCACAAAAGCCGGUGUCCAGGGGCUCAAGACCUGUACCUGGGGUUGCAGGGGCUCCUGCCCUGCUGUAUCCCACCGGGAGGGGGCCCCACUGCCCUUCCAGCCCUUAAAACUGGGCUGGGAGAGAAGAUGGGGAAGUGUGUGAGACAAAACAAAGCCGGCUUGUUUCCUCCCCUUGGCAGGCCAAGCUCUCCCGGCAGCCUGGGCUCUGGGGCGGAAGGAGAACAGUGUCAUCUCUUCCUUUGUUGAUAAAUGGCCAAAGAGUGGGAGCAGGUGGGGUCAGGGGCCAGAGUGCAGGGAAGAGGGCAAUGGUGGAGGUGGCGGGGGAGGGGGGGAAGCAGAGGGAGGUGGGCUGAGGCCUGGGUGAGGCCAGUGUGAUGCUGGCUUAAGGAGCUGGAGGGGUUCCUAAUACACAUUUAAUUCAGUUUCUCUUCCCUAAGAGGCUGCUGGAGUUGGGCCUCCUCCAGCAGAGACCCUCUGACCCCUGCAGGGCCUGGACUUGGGGCGAACAGGGCUUCAGUCAGUGCAAGUAUUCCAUUUGCAUUUGGUAAUUUUUAAUGUCACCUAUUUAUGAAUAUAUAAAUCUUUAUACCAAAUCUAUUUUUUAAAACAUGGAAAAGUUGCCUUUAUGGAAACUUGGCAGAGCCAGAGUGUACACAUUCCUAAACCAUUAAACAGUUUUCUAUAACAAACAA